UACGGAGGGGGCUAGCGUUGUUCGGAAUUACUGGGCGUAAAGCGCACGUAGGCGGCUUUGCAAGUUAGAGGUGAAAGCCCGGGGCUCAACUCCGGAAUUGCCUUUAAAACUGCAUCGCUAGAAUUGUGGAGAGGUAAGUGGAAUUCCGAGUGUAGAGGUGAAAUUCGUAGAUAUUCGGAAGAACACCAGUGGCGAAGGCGACUUACUGGACACGUAUUGACGCUGAGGUGCGAAAGCGUGGGGAGCAAACAGG
rnacentral:rRNA from 1 species